GCUGUACCUGGAGAAGUAGCCAGAACUGAGUGCAGUUGUCUUAAAAGAUGAAUUUCUCCCUGAGGACAUUUCGGCAAGGUGAAGAGAGAGAUUGAUCAUUUCCAGAUGCUCUUUGCUGGCAGGCAAAGAAAAAUUAUUUCAGAGACCCCGAUGUCUGGAAGCAACAUCUGUGUCUCACUCUAAGCAGUUGUGCCACUGAGUGGUGGAAGCCAUGGGAUCAUGUCUAUCAGAAGCA